AACUUUGCGCAGUGGCGAUACCGUAACCGAUGAUGUUUUACCGAGGUGCGGUUAUUGCUAGUUGAAAACUACUACCAAUACCCCGCCACGCGUUCUUUACCGAAUCGCGUAGGCAAUUUUUACUCGGCCCUAAAAUGGC